rnacentral:lncRNA from 1 species
AAAUGCUGUUCUGUGCUCCUUGCUUAAUUGGGGGGAAUGAAUAUGGCAUAUGCCAAUGAUAGGGGGUGGUUAGUGGGGACUUUUUAUGAAAGUUUCUUCUCUGAAAUUAAACAAUACAGCCAACACAACAGUGAAUCAGAAAGCAACAACACAACUUAACUUUUUGAGUUUUGUUUUUUUUACCAUUUGUCCUCUUCUUUGAUUUGAUGCUAACAUUUGUAUUUUUAGCACCUUCACUUUGCAUCAUCUUAUGUGAUAUUCACACGCUCUAUGUCUUCCAAAUGAGAGUUAGUACCACUUGGCAUCUCCGACUUUAUUUUAAAAAAAUUUUUGGUUUUAGUGUUAUGGGUUGCUUUUAAUUAUAUAUUGUGUUACUGUCAUUAGUAACUUAUUAAUAAUCAUUGCUACUUUGUUUUAUGUAAGAUGAUGAAUCAUUCUUGAUUGGUGAUGAAGAAUUUUGAGUGGCUUCAGAGCAAAACAAAAACUUGAUCUGAAACAAAAUCAGCUGCUUCAUUGAUCUUUAUGACGGUAAAUUGGUAAAUCAUUAUGGUUAAUUUGUCUUAUUAGAACCUAAACCAUUAGUUCAACGCAGCACUUAAUCAAGAGGAAGAAGUUUUUGCUUUUCUUUUUCAUUUUUUCCUGAAAGACUGAAGAAAUACCUAUGGUCAAUAAAAAUUCUCUGUAAUAAAAGAGAAUCUCUAUGCCCAUUGGAGGAUUUUUUUUUUUUUUUUUUUUAAGACAAAGAGACCUGAAAUGAUUAAGAAAUGGCAGAUAAGUACUCUUUUUCACCUAGUGAAAAGCAAAGAUGGUGUGUCUCCUAAUAUGGGCUCAUAAUUGAAACUUCUG